rnacentral:rRNA from 1 species
UUUGAAAGGCUUGGCGGCAGGCCUAACACAUGCAAGUCGAGCGGUAGAGAGAAGCUUGCUUCUCUUGAGAGCGGCGGACGGGUGAGUAAUGCCUAGGAAUCUGCCUGGUAGUGGGGGAUAACGUUCGGAAACGAACGCUAAUACCGCAUACGUCCUACGGGAGAAAGCAGGGGACCUUCGGGCCUUGCGCUAUCAGAUGAGCCUAGGUCGGAUUAGCUAGUUGGUGAGGUAAUGGCUCACCAAGGCGACGAUCCGUAACUGGUCUGAGAGGAUGAUCAGUCACACUGGAACUGAGACACGGUCCAGACUCCUACGGGAGGCAGCAGUGGGGAAUAUUGGACAAUGGGCGAAAGCCUGAUCCAGCCAUGCCGCGUGUGUGAAGAAGGUCUUCGGAUUGUAAAGCACUUUAAGUUGGGAGGAAGGGCAUUAACCUAAUACGUUAGUGUUUUGACGUUACCGACAGAAUAAGCACCGGCUAACUCUGUGCCAGCAGCCGCGGUAAUACAGAGGGUGCAAGCGUUAAUCGGAAUUACUGGGCGUAAAGCGCGCGUAGGUGGUUUGUUAAGUUGGAUGUGAAAUCCCCGGGCUCAACCUGGGAACUGCAUUCAAAACUGACUGACUAGAGUAUGGUAGAGGGUGGUGGAAUUUCCUGUGUAGCGGUGAAAUGCGUAGAUAUAGGAAGGAACACCAGUGGCGAAGGCGACCACCUGGACUAAUACUGACACUGAGGUGCGAAAGCGUGGGGAGCAAACAGGAUUAGAUACCCUGGUAGUCCACGCCGUAAACGAUGUCAACUAGCCGUUGGAAGCCUUGAGCUUUUAGUGGCGCAGCUAACGCAUUAAGUUGACCGCCUGGGGAGUACGGCCGCAAGGUUAAAACUCAAAUGAAUUGACGGAAG